CAGGGAAUUUUGCGCAAUGGGCGAAAGCCUGACGCAGCGACGCCGCGUGGGCGAUGAAGGCCUUCGGGUUGUAAAGCCCUUUUCUGGGGGAAGAGAGAGGACGGUACCUCAGGAAUAAGCGUCGGCUAACUACGUGCCAGCAGCCGCGGUAAUACGUAGGACGCGAGCGUUAUCCGGAUUCACUGGGCGUAAAGCGCCUGCAGGCGGCUUCGUAAGUUGGGUGUGAAAGCCCCAGGCUUAACCUGGGGAGGCCAUUCAAUACUGC
rnacentral:rRNA from 1 species